rfam:Beta vulgaris subsp. vulgaris Bvchr8.sca016.con0039.1, whole genome shotgun sequence.
GUAUGCCUGGCUCCCUGUAUGCCAUUCGCAGAGCCCAUCGAAUAAUCGAUGACCUCCAUGGAUGGCGUAUGAGGAGCCAAGCAUAC